rnacentral:rRNA from 1 species
AACAGGGAUUGCCCUAGUAACGGCGAGUGAAGCGGCAACAGCUCAAAUUUGAAAUCUGGCCCUCGGGCCCGAGUUGUAAUUUGUAGAGGACGCUUUUGGCGCGGUGCCUUCCGAGUUCCCUGGAACGGGACGCCUUAGAGGGUGAGAGCCCCGUACGGUUGGACACCAAGCCUCUGUAAAGCCCCUUCGACGAGUCGAGUAGUUUGGGAAUGCUGCUCUAAAUGGGAGGUAAAUUUCUUCUAAAGCUAAAUAUUGGCCAGAGACCGAUAGCGCACAAGUAGAGUGAUCGAAAGAUGAAAAGCACUUUGAAAAGAGGGUUAAAUAGCACGUGAAAUUGUUGAAAGGGAAGCGUUUGCGACCAGACCUCUCCCCGGCGGAUCAUCCGGUGUUCUUCACUGGUGCACUUCGCCGGGCAGAGGCCAGCAUCGGUUUCCGCGGGGGGACAAAAGCUCAGGGAACGUAGCUCCUUCGGGAGUGUUAUAGCCCUCUGCACAAUGCCCCCGCGGGGACCGAGGACCGCGCCCCCGGGCAAGGAUGCUGGCGUAAUGGUCGCCAACGACCCGUCUUGAAACACGGACCAAGGAGUCGAACAUUUGUGCGAGUGUUUGGGUGUCAAACCCUCACGCGCAAUGAAAGUGAACGGAGGUGAGAGCCCCUCGGGGCGCAUCAUCGACCGAUCCUGAUGUCUUCGGAUGGAUUUGAGUAAGAGCAUAACUGUUCGGACCCGAAAGAUGGUGAACUAUGCGUGGAUAGGGUGAAGCCAGAGGAAACUCUGGUGGAGGCUCGCAGCGGUUCUGACGUGCAAAUCGAUCGUCAAAUCUGCGCAUGGGGGCGAAAGACU